rnacentral:SRP_RNA from 1 species
CGCGCCUGUAGUCCCAGCUACUCGGGAGGCUGAGGUGGGAGGAUCGCUUGAGUCCAGGAGUUCUGGGCUGUAGUGCGCUAUGCUGAUCGGGUGUCCGCACUAAGUUCGGCAUCAAUAUGGUGACCUCCCGGGAGCGGGGGGCCACCAGGUUGCCUAAGGAGGGGUGAACCGGCCCAGGUCGGAAACGGAGCAGGUCAAAACUCCCGUGCUGAUCAAUAUAUUGACUGGACCCUGCUGGAC